rnacentral:rRNA from 1 species
AAUAGAUACCCUGGUAGUCCACGCCGUAAACGGUGGGCACUAGGUGUGGGCAACAUUCCACGUUGUCCGUGCCGCAGCUAACGCAUUAAGUGCCCCGCCUGGGGAGUACGGCCGCAAGGCUAAAACUCAAAGGAAUUGACGGGGGCCCGCACAAGCGGCGGAGCAUGUGGCUUAAUUCGACGCAACGCGAAGAACCUUACCAAGGCUUGACAUACACCGGAAACGGCCAGAGAUGGUCGCCCCCUUGUGGUCGGUGUACAGGUGGUGCAUAGCUGUUGUCAGCUCGUGUCGUGAGAUGUUGGGUUAAGUCCCGCAACGAGCGCAACCCUUGUCCCGUGUUGCCAGCAGGCCCUUGUGGUGCUGGGGACUCACGGGAGACCGCCGGGGUCAACUCGGAGGAAGGUGGGGACGACGUCAAGUCAUCAUGCCCCUUAUGUCUUGGGCUGCACACGUGCUACAAUGGCCGGUACAAUGAGCUGCGGUACCGUGAGGUGGAGCGAUCUCAAAAGCCGGUCUCAGUUCGGAUUGGGGU